AUUGAACGCUGGCGGCGUGCCUAACACAUGCAAGUCGAGCGGCAGCGCGGGAGCAAUCCUGGCGGCGAGCGGCGGACGGGUGAGUAAUGCUUGGGAAUCUGCCUGUUAGUGGGGGACAACCCGGGGAAACUCGGGCUAAUACCGCAUACGCACUACGGUGGAAAGCCGGGGACCGCAAGGCCUGGCGCUAACAGAUGAGCCCAAGUCGGAUUAGCUAGUUGGUAGGGUAACAGCCUACCAAGGCGACGAUCCGUAACUGGUCUGAGAGGACGACCAGUCACACCGGAACUGAGACACGGUCCGGACUCCUACGGGAGGCAGCAGUGGGGAAUAUUGGACAAUGGGGAAACCCUGAUCCAGCGACGCCGCGUGGGUGAAGAAGGCCUGCGGGUUGUAAAGCCCUUUCAGUAGGGAAGAAAACCCGAGUGCUAAUAUCACUCGUCUUGACGUUACUUACAGAAGAAGCACCGGCUAACUCCGUGCCAGCCGCCG
rnacentral:rRNA from 1 species